UACGUAGGGGGCAAGCGUUGUCCGGAUUUAUUGGGCGUAAAGAGCGUGUAGGCGGCUUUACAGGUCCGUUGUGAAAACUCGAGGCUCAACCUCGAGACGCCGGUGGAAACCGUAAAGCUAGAGUCCGGAAGAGGAUAGCGGAAUUCCCAGUGUAGAGGUGAAAUGCGCAGAUAUCAGGAGGAACACCAAUUGCGAAGGCAGCUCGCUGGGACGUUACUGACGCUGAGACGCGAAAGCGUGGGGAGCAAACAGG
rnacentral:rRNA from 1 species